rnacentral:rRNA from 1 species
AUUGAACGCUGGCGGAAUGCUUUACACAUGCAAGUCGAGCGGCAGCGCGGGGCAACCUGGCGGCGAGCGGCGAACGGGUGAGUAAUACAUCGGAACGUGCCCAGACGUGGGGGAUAGCCCGGCGAAAGCCGGAUUAAUACCGCAUACGAUCUAAGGAUGAAAGCGGGGGAUCGCAAGACCUCGCGCGUUUGGAGCGGCCGAUGGCAGAUUAGGUAGUUGGUGGGGUAAAAGCUUACCAAGCCUACGAUCUGUAGCUGGUCUGAGAGGACGACCAGCCACACUGGGACUGAGACACGGCCCAGACUCCUACGGGAGGCAGCAGUGAGGAAUCUUCCACAAUGGGCGAAAGCCUGAUGGAGCAACGCCGCGUGCAGGAUGAAGGCCUUGGUUGUAACUGCUUUAUAAGUGAGGAAUAUGACGGUAACUUAUAGAAUAAGGAUCGGCUAACUACGUG